rnacentral:lncRNA from 1 species
UUUAUGGAGGAUAGUCGAUUGUUGCUGACGUUGGUUGAAGGAGAAGUUGACAAUGUUUAAGGGUUAUUAUUGAAGGGGAAAGCGGCGAUGUGGUGGUUAGGAGGAAAAGGAUAGGACAGAGAUUGUAGGUUUGUGGUGGGUUUUUCUGGUGGCACAGUUAUUUGGUGGGGCGGAAGAGAUCCACAGUGGAAAAGAAAACGAAAUUUAUGUUUUUUAGUCAAUCCAUUUUUAUUUGUUUUUUCUAUUUCCCAAUGGUCCCAACGGAAAAUGCCUU